rnacentral:rRNA from 1 species
AGUGAACGCUGGCGGCGUGCCUAAUACAUGCAAGUCGAACGCGAAAGUCCUUCGGGAUGAGUAAAGUGGCGCACGGGUGGGUAAUGCAUGAGAACAUGCCCUUAGAUGGGGAAUAACGUUUGGAAACGAACGCUAAUACCGCAUAAUCUCGAGAGAGUAAAGGUGGCGCCGCAAGGGCUACCGUCUAAGGAUUGGCUCAUGUCCCAUUAGCUAGUUGGCGGGGUAAUGGCCCACCAAGGCAACGAUGGGUAUGUGGUCUGAGAGGAUGAUCACACACACUGGAACUGAGACACGGUCCAGACUCCUACGGGAGGCAGCAGUAGGGAAUAUUGCACAAUGGGGGAAACCCUGAUGCAGCAACGCCGCGUGAGUGAAGAAGGCCCUUGGGUCGUAAAGCUCUUUAGCGAGGGAAGAGGGUAGAUACGGUGAACAAUCGUGUUUGCUGACGGUACCUCGAGAAUAAGCACCGGCUAAUUUCGUGCCAGCAGCCGCGGUAA